rnacentral:lncRNA from 1 species
GAGAUUCAGAUUAUGAAUUUAAAUUUAUUUAAAAUAUUACUUCAUAAAUAAUAUGGUUGAAUAAGUUGGGACUAGAAAGUAAAAAUGUUGUUAGCCACAUAACGAGUUCACUUAGAAAAUGUAGACACAUAUGUUUUAUACAAUUAUAGAAAUAUCAUACUACUAUAUGCUCCCGGGCCAUUCAUAUAUCGUAGUGAUUAUUGCUUAUUUACAUUGGUACAUAUACUAUUUAUAGAUUAUACAAUAGUAUAUGCAUAUUUCAUAUUUUGAGCAUUCUCCUAAGCAGUCACGAACACCUGUCAAAUGUUAGUAUUCUAAUACUAUCAUUUUUGGAAUUGUAAUAAAUUGUAAUAACUGUACAACAGCAUAACAAAUAUAAUUCCACAAGUGAAGUCGUGAGAGUGUAAAGUGUACGCAGACCUUACCACUACUUCAGCGAAGUACAAUGGUUGUUUUUUAAACACAAUAAACAAAACAUAAAAGAUAAUAUUAUUUCUAAGCAUGUGGUUUGGGCCCAGACAUGUAUUGCAAGUUUUCACAGUGUAAUGUUAUGUCAACACCCAGUCACUCCAGCAUUUUCAAGAAUCUAGGAAACAUAUAUCAAUCUUACCCACAACAUACAUAUACACAAUAAAACAAAAUAAAAUAUCCAGAAACCACUUGUAUCAAACUGACAAUAAUGAUAAAGCAAAUUAUAUACAAGUAGUUUAAUCCUUAGAAAUAAUGUAUGCUAGUAGGCUCUUAUAAUGAAGAUUUAACAGUGUAAUGUGGUGUCCAGAGAUCGUCACUUUAUUCAUAUUUAGAAAUUCAGGAAGCUAUAUCAUUCCUACUUACACCAUACACAAACAAACACUGAAGUCUUUAAAUUUUCCAGUAGACUCAACUAUGGAAGUGAACAGUAAGCAAGAAACAAAAGUUGCUAACGGAGCACAAAAUUAUAUGUAAACUAACCUUAUGUCACAACAAAUAUUUUAAUUCCCACAAAAGAGCAGCAGUAGAAGACAUUUCAUAGCAACAUCAAAAAAAGUGGCCAACCGAUAUCAAAAUAACAGUAAAAGUGUUUAAACUGUACUUCAAAGCAACAAUAAUCAAUCUAAUAGCAUAAAUAUAUAAUAGUUAAACAAAAGCUUAUUCAAUGUAAUAUAGGUGGAAAAUCUGGCUUCACCAACACAUUUGGAACAUUGAUUUAAGGGUGUUAACAUGUUUGGUUUGGAUUUAUGGCUUUUGAAUUUCAUUUUGACCAUCAGUUUGGAAAAUUAUAAUUUUGGAUUUGGGGGUCAACUUUGUAAAAAUGAUGUUUUUUAAAAAAUUUAAUAUUGCCAUUGAGUUUGGUGCAUCGAAUUUAGUGUGGUUACAUAGUUCGUUUGCACAUAUCGGACUCCAAACAAAUCCCGAGCACCUUAUCGAAAUUCACUUGGACUUAAAAAAAUCUGGUGCACUAGGUUGCCUGUGCAACUGAUGCACAUAAGGUAAAUCAGGCUCAGGGAAUGCAUUUUAUGCAUAAAAAGCCCGGUAACCCGGGUACAACAUAAAUAACCCUUUUUGACUUUUCUUUCACCUUUUCUCUUAUGAGAUUAACCCUAAAAUAACAUGAGAGCUUAAAAGUGAAGCUUGUAGGAGCUUGAGAAGCUAGAUUAACAUCUAUUUCUUGAUUCUAUUAUGAAUUUAAAGUGAGAUUUCAUCCUUUCUACUCUAAUUCCUUAAUUAAUUUCUCAAAACCCCAAAAUAUCUUAGGGAUUAAUUUUAAAUCCCAAUUUCACUGAUUUUUACUUGAAUAAUAUUUUAAUCCUAUAAUUACUAGUUUUUCAUCAAUUUAAACUUCAAAACAACUUUGAUCUUGAUUUUAAUGCGGGGUUUAAGGAUUUUACCCGGUAAAUCUUUAAAAUAAUUUUUUUAUUUGAACCUCGUUUUUUACUCGAUUUGACUUGGGUUUUCAUCUAUGAUUUCUAAAAAUAGGAAAAAUAUGUUUUGAAGUAAAGUUGUGAUUUUGCUCUUCUUUUUCAAAAACCUAUUUCAGGGUUCCAUUUUGACCCAAACUAAAAGUAGGCAAUAUGAGUAUCGUUAGCUUUGUUUUGACGUAUAGAUUCUAUAUUUCAUCAUUUUAGUUGAUUUUGGGACCAUUUGUGAGAACUAGGACUUUGUGCUUGAAGUGUUGUAGAUCGAUUUUGGUAUACGAAAUUGAUUAUGAGUUUAACUCAUUCAGACUGGGAUGGGUAGUAAACAUUGGUAUAAAAUGCAUGUUAAGGGUGAGAACUAAUCAUAAAAAUAGCUAUCUAUGUGUUGUGCCCAUGUGGGGGCCUAUAUGUGAUGUAAUUGUUGAAAUUGAGAUAUUAUGUGAUAUGUAUGACCGUGUGGGUUCUAUAUGAUGUUGAUUGCCUUGAAUACACAUAAAUAGUUGUAUUGUGUUAUUACAAAUGCUUACUGUGGUACCUUUGGUGUAUAUAUAUGUGUGUAUAUAUGUAUGUAUAUAUAUAUUCAUACUCUUGACAUAUGAAACAAAUGGAAAUUCAUGGAUGAAUGAAAAUAAUAAGUGGUUAUUGGCUCAUGCGGUUAUGGAAAUGUAUCAUUGUGGUUGGUUGUGAAAAUAUAUCAUGUUGUUUGCUGUGGAAAUACUCAUUAUGAUUGGUUGUAUGCAUUACAUCCUUAUAUCUUACUUAUUCAUAAAACAAAUGGUACCACCUUGGCAACACCUAAGAAAUAAUGGCUACAUUUUUUUAUCAUAUAAAAUAUGACAUCUUAUAAGACCCUCCCUAAGGGAUGUGCUAGGGAGGAGAUAUGGAUAUGGAUGUUGAUAUAUAUAUAUAUAUAUAUAUAUAUGGUUUGACGAAGCCCUUGUGGGUCCCACGUAGGGAGGCUUGCCUCCGUAGAUGUAUACGAGGAUUGUGCGACGACCCCAAAGGUUGUACCACGACCUCAUCCAUCAUGAUUAUCAUCAUCAUCAUAUACAUUACACUUGAUUAAUUUUGUUUAUGAUGUGCUUGUAUCUAUAUACUAGUUCUAUAUCUUGACUUGUUAAUGUCUAAUUGUUCUAUCUCCCUUUACUUGUAAUUGGUGAUCUUGAUUAUACAUAUUUCUAUUUUGUUCUACUUGUAUGUGAUAUUGUGUAUAUUUGUAUCCCUAUCUGGUUGUUGGUUUUUAUGUGUGGAUAUUGUAGAACUGUUAGUGCAAGUGGUGUGGGCUAUCAUUGUGGGAUAUUUUCUGAUUGCAGGUGAUGUGCCCUUAGUGUAUAUUUUGUAUGCUAAGUUUACUAAUUUUCUUGGUCGGCCUAUGAUAUCUACUGAGUACAAGUAGAUCGUACUCACGCCUAUUAUGCCUUUUUGGUGUGGGUCCUAGCUCGAGUGCACCUCAGCUUGCUUGACUCAAGUGAUUAUUGGAGCUUUUAAGAUAGUGGUUGACCUCCAUAAGUUCUGAUGUCUUCUAUUACCUUUCUUAUAGACUAUGUAUUUACUUUUAUUUCUUCGAUAGAGUUUCUCUUGUAUUUGGAUAUCUUAUGUAUUUUAUUUGGAUUUGUGUUGUACUAGAUAGUUCUUACAUAUUUAACAUGUGAUUUUAGAAAUGUAUGGUAUUUGGAUAUAUUCUUUCCACAUUGUUAUAAUUACAUCUAUUAUUUGACUUCAUUCUAAAAGCCCUACCUUGGGGGUAUUUCUAUCUUUUCCCUUUGUGUAUUAUUUUAGGUGAUAGGCUUACUCAUUAAGGUUCGUCGCGAUGAGUGCCAUCAUGAUCCUUGGAUUUUGGGUCAUGACGAAUUGGUAUCAGAGUAGACAGGUUUCAUUAGUCUCAAUGGUGUUAGAACAAAAUGUCUAAUAGAGUCUUGUGGAUCAGUACGUAGACGUCUGUAUCUAUCUUCAAGAAGCUAUAGAAUAUAUUUAGGAAACUUAACUCAAUUUUAUUUCUUACCAUGCGAUGUUCUUUCAUAUCUUGUGUUUUGAGUUGUGUUUCACUUUUUUGUGUAGAUGGUAUUAUUAGGUCCCGCUAGGUUAGAUAUGUGGAGCCUAUUUUUGAAGGGAGAGUUCAAUUGAUAAGGUGAGCCUCGAGUAAUUAAUGGACUCAAGGAAGGGGACAUGCCCGUGGUUCAUCCCUAUCUAGGAGGAGUGCAAGAGGACUCUCCCCUAAGCCUCGUGUUAAGUAGGUUGGAGGUGUGGUCUCUGCUCCAGUUCUUUAGAUUUUGUCUUCCCCAGUGUUGAAGGGAUUGUUGGUGCAUUUACUGACCCAUUUAAAGGUUAUCCAUUGGUUAUGUUGGUUGUUUCUCCGAUUCAGAGUAUGGAUCCUUUGUUGCAUCUGCUUCUGUUUUGGGUACUUCUCAAGGCCUGAGUACUAUUCCACCAUCAGUGUCGACACUUGAGUAUUUGGCACUAAGAUCAAAGGUUCAUCCUUUAUCCGUGUUACCUUCUUAUAUGGGAUCUCAACAUGCUAGAUUUACUAUGCCUCUUCUUUCCAUGAGUACUGUGAUGUCUUCUAGGGAUCAAAAUAGGUUUUAGAGAUUUACUUAUUUUGGUCUUUCUAAGUUCAGUAGUGUUAUGUAGGAGAAUGCCUAUGAGUUUUUGAUUGAUUUUCGAGAGAAAUUGUAUAAUUUAGGUUUGUUAAAGUCGCAUGGAGUGGGAUAUACUACCUAUCAGUUAAGAGAUGUGACUGGAGAUUAGUAGACAUUGGUUGUUGAUUAUAGGCCCAUUGAUGUUCCUGAGAUGUCUUGGCAUCAAUUUGUUGAUGCUUUUCUAGAGACAUUUGUGCCUUAUAGUUUGAGAGAUCGGAUGCGUGAUGAGUUUGACCGACAACAGCAGGGCUCUAUAACUACAAUAGAGUAUGAGGCACACUUUUAUGUCUUUUCCAAAUAUUCCUAUGCUAGUAUUUCCAUCAAGUCUUAGAAAAUUCAGAAAUUUGUAAAGGAUUUAAAUGUCUCUCUUCAGUUGGCUAUAUCACAGAUAGUCAUAUUUGCAGUAUCUAUUUAGAGUAUUGUAGAUCAGGAUAAGAUGACUAAGGGUAUUCUUUAGGCAUCUCAGGGAGGUGCCAAGAAGGUGCACCAUUUUGGUGAGUUUAGAGGCUAGCCUUCUCGUGGUGGAUAUUUCAGAGAUUUUCAUAGAUAUUAUGGUAGAAAAGAGCAGGCGACUUUAUAGAGUUUUGGUGGUGGAUCUUCUGGUUUAGCAGUUUGGGUUAGCCAUUCGAGCCUAACUAUAUCUUCUCAUAUUGAUGUGGGUUAUAGAAGGUGCUAUGUAUGUGAUAAUGUUGGCAAUUUUGGCCAAGGAUUAUCCCCAUUGUAUGAUUAGGGAUACUCCUAUUUCAACUGUGAGGGGUAGGAGUGAUACCAAAAGUUUGAGGGGUAGAGGUAGUAGAGCUCGUGGGGGUAGUCAUAGGGCCGUUCAGGCAUUUUGAGGUCGUGGGGCCAUUCAGACAAUUGGUGGUCAUGGGCAGUGUUAUGCCAAACCGGCCAAAAAUAAGCAGAGGAUUUUAAUGUUGUGAUUACAGGUACCGUCCCCAUUUGUUUCAGAUCUACAUCUAUAUUAUUAGAUCCUAAAUCAACUUUCUCCUAUGUUUUUGUGUAUUUUACUUCGGGUUUUGAUUAUGCAACUGAGCCUCUUUCCAUGUCUAUUCAUGUAUCUACCCCUAUAGAUGAUUCCUAAGUGGUAGACCGGGUGCACCAAUCUUGUGUUGUGACUUUCUCUGGCCGUGAGACUUGGGUAGAUUUACUUGUGUUAGAUAUGGUUGACUUUGAUUUUAUUAUGGGCAUGGAUUGAUUGGCUCCUUAUCUUGUUGUCUUAGAUUAUUCUUCUAAGACCGUGCCUUUAACUUUGCCAGAUGUGCCAAGGAUAACUUGGAAGGAUAUGCUUCAUUCGGGACCUAAGAGGGUUAUAUCCUAUGUUUAGGCUCAUUGAUUGGUUGAGAGGGGAUAUUUAGCUUAUUUGGAUCAUAUUCGUGAUACUAGUAUUAUUUCACCUUGUUUCUUAGAUUCUUUUCGUAUUGUUCAUGAGUUUAUGAAUGUGUUCCUAUCGAUUUACCUGGUAUGCCUCUGAAUAAUGAUAUUGAUUUUGCUAUUGAUGUUAAGCUAGGCACUGAGCCCAUUUUUAUUGCUCCUUAUAGAAUAGCCCCAAUCGAGUUAAAAGAAUUAAAGGAUCAGUUACAAGAGUUGUUGGAUAAGGGAUUUAUUCGAUCUAGUGUAUCGCCUUGGGCUGCACCUGCAUUGUUUGUAAGCAAAAAAAAAAGGAUAGGUCAAUGAGAAUAUGUAUUGAUUAUUGGCAGUUUAACAAGGUGAUGAUUAAGAAUAAGUAUCCUCUUCCUCAUAUUGAUGAUUUACUUGAUCGUCUUCAGGGUGCUAUGGUGUUUUCAAUAAUUGAUUUGAGAUUCGAUUAUCACCAGUUGAGGAUUAGAGCUUUGGAUAUUUCAAAGACAGCUUUUUGGACUCAAUAUGGUCAUUAUGAGUUCUUGAUCAUGUCUUUAAGGUUGACCAAUGCCCCUGUCGCAUUUAUGGAGUUGAUGAAUCAGGUGUUUCGACUGUGUUCCGACUUCUUUGUUAUUGUAUUUAUAGAUGAGAUCUUGGUGUAUUACAAAAGUGAGUUUAAGCUUGAGGAGCAUUUGUGGGUUAUGCUUUAGAGAUUGAAGGAUGAGAAAUUGCAUGCCAAGUUCUCUAAGUGCGAGUUUUGGUUAGAGUCUAUUUCUUUCUUAGGUCAUAUGGUGACUAAGAAGGGUAUUAUAGUUGAUUCGACCAAGAUUGUUGCGGUUCGUAAUUGGGCUAGACCUACUUCACCCACUGAGAUUUAUUGUUUUAUUGGCUUGGCAGGUUAUUAUCCGUAUUUCGUUGAGGAUUUCUCUUCUAAUACAACUCUUUUAACUAAGUUGACUUAGAAAAAGAUAUCUUUUAGUGGUUUGAUGCUUGUGAGGUGAGCUUUCAAAAGCUCAAGGAUUUGUUGACUUCAGCUCUUAUCUUGACUUUUCCCAAGGAGGGCAUGGAUUUUAUCAUCUUUUAUGAUGCUUCAGGUGUUGGGUUAGGUGCUGUUAAUGUAGGAGAGUAAGGUGAUAGUGUAUGCGUCUCAUCAGUUAAAGCCUCAUGAGAGGAGCCAUCCUACCCAUGAUAUAGAGUUAUGCGUGGUUGUGUUUGCUUUGAUAUUAUAGAGGAACAACUUGUGUGGAGCCUAUUGUGAGAUCCUCUCAGAUCAUCGUGUCCUUCAGUACUUCUUUACCUAGCGAGAUCCUAAUAUAAGGUAGCGUCAUUGGAUUGAGUUGCUCAACGAUUAUGACUUGACUAUUCUCUAUCAUCCGGGCAAGGCCAUUGUCGUUGCAGAUGCCUUGAGCUAAAAUUCGACUAGCAUAGGUAGCUUGGCAUAUUUUUUGAUCUAGGAGAGGCCUUUGGCCUCAGAAGUUUAGUCUUUAGCUAACUAGGUAGGUAGGCUUGAUAUUUUGACACCUAAGCAUAUUUUGGAAUUCGUGGAGGCUAGGUCUUUUUAGAUGGAGUAGAUUUAAGCUUAUCAGUUUGAUAAUGCUUGUUUGAGAUCGAUUCGAGAUAAGGUGUUGAGUGGUGAGGCUAAGAAAGCCUCACUUGAUUCAGAUGGAGUUUUAAGGAUUGGGGUUCGAGUUUGUGUGCUGAGAGCGGGUGACUGGAUUAGGUUGAUCUUGGAAGAAGUCCAUUGUUCUAGAUAUUCCAUCUAUCCCGGUGUGACUAAGAUGUAUCAUGAUUGAGACAACACUAUUAGUGUGGGGGUAUGAGGUGAGAUGUAGUAGAUUUUGUGGCUUAUUGCCUAUGUUUUCAGCAGUUGAAGGUCGAUCAUAUGAGACCUGGUGGUUUGCUUCGAGGUUACCUAUUCUUGAGUAAAAGUGCGAACAGAUCACUAUGGACUUUAUGACUGGUUUGCCUCGUACUUAUCAUGGUUCUGAUAGUGUUUGGGUCAUCGUGGAUUGAUUUACCAAGUUAGCCUAUUUUUUUCUAGUUCAGGUUUUAUUUAGUGCCAAGAGAUUGACCUGUAUCUAUAUUUGUGAGAUUAUGCGUUUGCACGGUGUGCCAGUGUCUAUCAUUUGUGGCUCGGUAUUCAUAUCACAUUUUUAAAAGAAAUUUUAAGAUGAGUUGGCACUAGGGUUGAUCUCAGUACAACAUUUUACCCCCAGACUAAUGGUUAGUCAGAGCGAACUAUCCAAGUUUUACAGGAAAUGCUCCACGCACAUCUAAUGGAUUUUAGGUGCCAUUAGGAGCAAUAUUUGGCGCAGAGUUUCCAUAUAAUAAUAACUACAACUCCAGUAUUAAUAUGGCUUAUUUUGAGGUAUUGUAUGGUAGGCAUUAUCGCUCGCCAAUAGGUUGGUUUGAUGUUUCUGAGAUUAGACCUCGAGGUACGGACUUGCUUCAUGAGUCUUUUGAUAGAGUUUGAGUUAUUUAGGAUAACUUACUGGCUUAAAAUUUGCAGAAGUGCUAUGCAGAUCAUAGGCUUGGUGCUUUGAGAUUUGGUGUUGGGGAUUAUUUUUUCCUCUGAGUUUUACCCAUGAAGGGUGUGAUGAGGUUUGGGAAGAGGGGUAAGCUUAUCCCCAGGUAUAUUGGUCCAUUGAGAUUCUUCAGACCAUUGGUGAUGUGGCUUGUGAGUUGACUUUGCCCCCAGAAUUAUCAGUUGUUCAUCCAGUUUUUUAUAUUUUUAUGCUUUGCCAUUACAUUCUUGAUGAGUCUUAUGUCAUCCGUUAGGAGUCAGUUCAAUUCGAUGAGCGGUUGUCUUUCAUUAAAGAUUCAAUCUCCAUUUUGGCUAGGGAUGUUAGACGAUUGUGCUCUAAAGUUAUCCCUAUGGUUAAGGUUCAGUGGGGAUAUUGACUGUAUAUGAGGCUACUUGGGAGAUCGAUUCUGAUAUGCAUAGUUUGUAUCUCCAUCUCUUCGUUGAUUCAGGUAUUUUUCUACCUUAGUUCUAGGACAAGCUAGAUUCUUAGAGGCGGAUGAUGUAACAACCUGAAAAUUUGAUGAACUGUGUGAGAUUUAUGAUUUGACUGUUUUACCCCUCCUCGAAGUUGGAUUGUGUUAUUUCUGGGGGUGUGGGGUGAUUGGCAUGAUUCCCGAUGUAUUUUGGUACCAUUUGUGCGAUAUUGUGGUUUUUAGUGACUUCGAGAAUCUUAUUAUAAACCUGUGUGGUUAGCUUUUGAUCCGUGAAAUGGAUAGUUGAACGAACUAUGACAAUAGCUCCAGAAUAUCAUUUUUAGACUAGGUAGACCUUUGGUUUGGGUUCCAAUGCACCGAGCUCAUUUGAACCUGUUGGUCGAAAAGUUGGUAAGAUUAAAAAUAUAGAUGUGGACCCAUAUUUGAUUAAAACGACCUCGGAUGGAAAAUCCGACUUUGCGAACACAUUCGAAACGUCAAUUUUAAGGUGGUAACAUAUUUGGUUAGGUUUUAUGACUUUUAAAUCUUAUUUCGACCCCCGAUUUGAAAAGUUAUGAUUUUGAAUUUCGAGGGUCAACUCUAUGAAAAUGACAUUUUUUUUUCAAAAAUUUGUUAUUGCCAUUAAGUCCGGAGCAUCAAAUUUAUUGUGGUUACAUAGAUCGUUUGAGUAUAUCGGACUCCGAACGAAUUUCGAGCACCCCAUCAAAAUUUUCUUGAACUUAAAAAUCCAGUGCACCAGUUGCUGGUGCAACCUGAUGCAUAUAAGGUAAAUUGGGCUCAGGGAAUGCGUUUUAUGCAUAAAAUGCCUGGUAACCCAGGUACAACAUAAAUAUCCCUUUUGCUACUUUUUGCACAUUCUUUCACGUUUUCUCUUGAGAGUUUAACCCUAAAAUAGUGUGAGAUCUUAAAAGUGAAGCUUAUGGGAGUUUGGGAAAUUAGAUUAACAUCUAUUUCUUGAUUCUAUUACGGAUUUAAGGUGAGAUUUUAUCAUUUUCUACUCGAGUUCCUUGAUUAAUUUCUCAAAACCCUAAAACAUCUUAAAAAUUGAUUUUAAACCCCAAUGUCACUUCUUUUCACUUGAAUAAUGUUUUAAUCCUAUAAUUACUAGUUUUUCAUCAAUUUAACCUUCAAAAAAACUUCGAUUCUUAAUUUUAACAUGGAUUUUAAGGAUUUUACCUGAUAAACUUAAAAAUGGUUCCUCUUCAAUUUGAACCUCAUUUUUGACUCAAUUUAACUUGGCUUUUCAGUUGUAGAUUUCUAAAAAUAUGGGGAACACAUUUUUGAAGUAAAGUUAUGAUUUUGCCCUUCUUUUUCAAAAACUCAUUUCUAGGGUCCGUUUUGACCCCAAAUCAAAAGUAGGCAAUAUGGGUAUCAUUAGCUUUUUUUAAUGUAUAUAUUCUAUAUUUCUUAGUUUUAGUUGAUUUUGGGACCAUUCAUGAGAAGUAGGAGUGGUUGAAGUGUUGUAGACUGGUUCUGUCAUUCGAAGUAAGUUAUGGCUUAACUUUUUCAAGACUGGGCUAUGCGGUAAAUAUUGGUACCAAAUGCUUGUUAAAGGUGGGAACUAAUAAUGAAAAAUGGUUAUCUAUGUGUUGUUCCUGUGUGUGGGCCUAUAUGUGAUGCAAUUGCUGAAAUUGAGAUAUUAUAUGAUAUGUAUGACCGUGUGGGGUCCUAUAUGACGUUGAUAGACUUGAAGACAUGUAAAUCAUUAUAUCGUGUUAUUGAAAAUGCCUAUUGUGGUACCUUAGUGUAUUGUGAUAUAUAUAUUCAUACUUUUGGCAUAUGAAACAUGUGAAAAUUCAUGGACGAAUGAAAAUAAUAAGUGGUUAUUGAUCACGUGGUUAUGGAAAAGUAUAAUUAUUGUUGGUUGUGGAAAUAUAUCAUGUGGUUGGUUGUGGAAAUACUCACUAUGAUUAAGUGUGAGAAUUACAUCCUCAUAUCAUACUCGUUCGUGCAAAAAUAGUACCACUGUGGCAACACCUGAAAAACACUGACAACACCUAUUUAUAAUAGAAAAUAUGACAUCAUAUAAAACCCUCCUCUAGGGAUGUGCCAGGAAAGAGAUAUGGAUAUGGAUAUAUAUAUAUAUAUAUAUAUAUAUAUAUAUAUAUAUGGAUUGUAUAUGGGUUGAUAACCUCCCUGGGUCCCACGUAGGGAGGCUUGCCUCCAUGGGUGUAUACAGGGAUUCCGCAAUGAUCUCGAAGGUUGUGCAACAACCUCGUGUAUCAUCAUCAUAAUCAUCAUUAUAUACAUUGCACUUGUUUUAUUGUGUUUAUAUUGUGCUUGUAUUGCCAUAUUUACUUUUCAUCUAUCGAUUUGUUCUAUAUUUUGACUUUUUAAUGACGAAUUUUUCUAUCUCCCUUUACUUGUACUGGAUGAUCUUGAUUAUACGUGUUCCUCUUUCAUUCUACUUAAAUAUGAUAUUGUAUAUAUUUGUAUCGCUAUCUGGUGUGCUGUUGUAUUAUGUGUGGAUAUUGUAGAACUAAUAGUGCAAGUGGUGUGGGCUACCGUUGUAGGACAUUUUCUAAUUGUAGGUGACGUGCCCUUAGAGUAUAUUAUGUAUGCUUUAUUUACUACUCUUCUUGGUCUGCCUACUGUACCUACUGAGUACAAGUGGACCGUACUUAUGCCUACUGCGCCCUUUUGGUACAGGUCCUAGCUCGAAUGCGCCUCAACUUGCUUGACUCGGGUGAUUGUUGGAGCUUUCAAGGUAGUGAUUGACCUCCAGAUGUCCGGAUUUCUUCUAUUACCUUUGUUAUAGACUAUGUCUUUACUUUUAUUUCAGAGACAGUGUUUCUCUUGUAUUUGGAUAUCUUAUGUAUUUCAUUUGGAUUCGGGUUAUACUAGAUAAUUUUUACACUAUUGAUACCUGGUUUUGAGAAUGUAUGGUAUUUGGAUAUGUUCUUUCCAAAUUGUUAUAAUACUUGUGUGGGUCGACUUCGUUCUAUAAGCCCUACCUUAGGAGUAUUUCUAUCUUUUCCCCUCUAUGUAUUAAUUGGGUGAUAGGUUUACUCGGCAAGGUUCACCGCAACGAGUUCCAUCAUGACCGUUUGAUUUUGGGUUGUGACAGUACAUUAUGAGAGUUUGCAUUUCUUAUUAAAUAAACUAAGUUUGCAUGUUCCGCCUUGUGUUGCUUCUUUCUGGCAGUUGUGUCAUGGGCUUAUAUUUGUCACGCAGAUGAAAAAAGAGAAGAGCUCCUAUGUAUCUUGGCAUUUACAUUAAGAUAUUUUGAAUUUAGGCAGAAUGUUUGGAAGAACAUAAAGACUUAAGAUUGUUAAUGUACUUGUUAUUUACUAAAGAUUAUAAAUGAGAAACAUUUAUGUAGGUAGUGGCAUAUGAAAAGAACCACAUUUUUAUCUAAGUGUUUGACAUCUGUAUUAAACUUUCAUUUGUUUUAACAAUCAAACUGGGGAAGAAUUUGCUCUUCUCUGUCACUUCAUGACCCCUACUACUCACUUUCUCCAUCUUCCAACGUUCACUACCACUCCAAACUAAUCAUAUCUUUCUAAAUGUGUAAAAUAACCUUAAAAAUAAAUAAACAUGAUAGAACAAAAAUCUAAAUGAACUUAGAACACCCCAAUGGCCGUAUUAAAAGAGUAGUCUUUGAAAUUUUGAAGAAAGAAUACAGAUCAUGCACACAUUAAAGACCAAAAAGAAAACAAAGAAAGUAAAUGAAUGGUGAAGAACAUCAAAUAGAAAGUGUGUAGAAUAAUAUAAUAGCACUCUCUACCAUGAAGUUGGGAAAUCUAAUUAGGAAAAGUUUAGGCAAAAGAUUGAGAUAGAAAUUCAACUGAAAUUACAAAAUUUAAGAUCCACUCCAAAUUUCAGAUUUUAACAAUUGCUCUAUUUUGUUUAACCUUAGGCAUGAAAUAAACAUGAUCCGCAAGAUUUAAAACCUUAGUCAUGAUAUCCAAUCUCAGUUGCUUCUUAACCAACCAAAUCAUAGAAACAAAAUUUCAGAUCUACUCCGAAUUUCAGAUUUUAAUAAUGAAGUUUUAAGAAAAACUUAGUUAUGAAAUAAACAUGAUCCACAAGCUUUUAAUGAAGCUCAAAUAAAAUCAAGUGAAGAAUAAAGAAUAAAUAAAUUACCUGUAAUUUAUAAAAUCAAAAGCUUCGAUGCAGUAAAUUUGGGAGAAGAUGUUAUUUUUAAUCUUAUGCUCGCGAAGGGACA